CUACUUUUUUGCCCCGUGUAAACUUAGUUGAUGCGAAUAAAAUCAGUUGAAUCACCCUGUGACGGAAACGAUUCGUUUCCUCUAUGUAUUAAUCGGAUUUUUGAACUUGGAGUACGGUGCUGGAGCUUGCUCCACCCUGCUCAUGGGUUGUCCUGGUAUUGCAUUGCCUCCAGGUUCGGCUCACGUUUC
rnacentral:snRNA from 1 species